AUUAAAAGAGAGAGAGAAAAAGUAAAAAUAAAAUAGAAAUACUGAUACCCUGGUACAAUUAUGUGUAAUUAUUUCACGAGAGCCAUUAUUUUGUGAAACACCGUGUGCAACAUACGGGUCCCGUUGCUAGAUCAAUAAUAAUCAUGGCUUCUAUUCGAGUCUCCUUAUUCAUUAUUCUCUACAUAUUCUCCGUCGGUCUGACUCUGUUGGUACAUUGCAGACGACAUGAUGACGAAGAGGAAGAGAAGAAAAAAAUGUCAUGUACAUAUUUUGAUCCACGCAGAUUUCCUGAACCACAGCAUGGUCUGGUUAACUGCUCUUGGUAUGCCCCAAAUGCAUGUUGCAAGCGGACCGAAGUGACAUCUGUGUUCAGUAACAUGUACCCUUUAUAUGGGGCAUCUAAAGCUUGUAUGAACCGUAUGAAUUACUUAAUGUGCUACUUCUGUAGUCCAGAACAGGGUAUUUGGUACCAUGGUAAAAUGAGUGUAUGUGAAGAAUACUGCGUUGAUAUUUACAAUGAAUGUCGACUAGCUUCCUAUGAAGGAACCUCUAUAGUUUAUGCAGCCAGUAUCUAUCUCCUUGGGAUUUAACACCUAGACUGACUGAGAGAGACCUGUAUCUCAUUUAAGUAAGAUGCUACAUACUAAAUAUUUCUCUUUUUUUUUUCUUCUAAGGGCAAAAAAUCUGAAUUCAAUGAAUUAUAUAAAAAAACUCUUUUUCAUCUUCACAUAACUGAAACUCAUAUGAGAGUAUGUUUUUUUUUUUUAUAAAAAAUUAAUUAAUACAGUUAAUAAGUCAUAUUAAUGAUACUGAACAACCAAACUAUUUACUUUGAUAGUUCAGUAUCCUUAUCAAUCCAUACAAUCCUUCAUGAUGAAGGACAACAUCCUAUUGUAUACAGCCCUUCAUGAGAAAGGACUGUGUCCUAUUCCAAAUAACUUCUCGCACUAAGCGAUAUUGUCUUCUUCCAUACAGCCCUUCACAGUAAAGGAUAUUGUUCUAUUCUACACAGUCCUCCACACCGAAAGACACAGUGUCCUAUUCCACCACUCUUCACUCUCUAAAAUUCCAUGUAUCUUUUUUUUUUUUUUUUUUUCCUUACUGUUCCAACUAUUUUAUGUCAACAAAUAUUUAUACUAUCUUCUUUAUUUAAACCACGCAUUAAAAUUUAAUACUCACCUUUACAGUAUUUCAUAGUCUUUAUAUAUUACAUAUGUGUGUUUGUGUUUGCAUAUAUGUGUGUGUGUAUGAGUCUCUGUAUGUGUGCGUGUGCAUGCAUGCAUGUAUGUUGUUACUUUAUCAUGUUACAGAUGCACCUUGCUAUGACUUAAUGGUAUCCCUAAGAGGGAUAUAUUAGAGUGAUUUUCCACUCCUUUUUUUUCAUUUAUACAAAUAGACCAGGUAGUAUAUUGGGGAAGGUAUAUUAAGUUAGUGAUAGAAUCUGCACUUUUUCUGCCCUCCUCAGAUCACUAACAAUCAAGCUGAAGUGAAAAACUACAAUCAGGGAUCAAAAGUCGGUUGUAGGCUUAGCUCACCAGUAACCCUGUAAGGCAUUCAAUAGAUCCCACCUAUAAGGCUACUAUCUAUAUCUAUCUGAUAUUCAGCAGCACUUUAAAGAGUUCAAGUACAAUGCUGAAAUGCUAACAAAACAGACAUCAGGUAGAUGGUAAUUCCACUGUUUACAUUGGUGAAUUCUGUCAAUCCGACUCAAUUGAACCAAUGAAAUGUCAUAGAUCCAGUGUAGUUCUGAUGACAGGAUAUGCACUUUAGACUAUGAACUCUGACCCUUUAACCUGUAGCAUGCUGUCAAUUCCAUCACUUGCUGCUCGGUUAAUUUAUAUAUUUUCAAAUAAUCUCCUUCAGUUUAAAAAACUAGUAGAGUGUUGAAAUUUAAGCAAAUUUGCUUCAUCAUUUUAAUUAACAUGAUGAAGAAUUGUAAUUAAAUUCAAUAGUUGAACUAUUUUUUGGAUUAUUUCUUUUAGCCAUUUGCCAUUUCUAUGUUUCUAAACACUAAACUUAUUUAGUAUUUGUCUGGUAGUUUGGAGAAAGUCUUUUAUAUUUAAAAAACGGCUUCUGUACAGGGCACGUCCAUACUGCAAAACCAAAUGAUUAACAGCAAUAAUUCAUUCUUUCAUAAACAUACACACACACAUGUAUGUGUGUGUGUGUGUGCAUACAUAUAUAUAUAUAUAUAUACACACACAUAUAUAUAUAAAUGUAUGGUAUAUAUAUAUAUAUAUAUAUAUAUAUAUAUAUAUAUAUAUAUAUAUAUAUAGGUACAAGGUAUAAAUAAUAGUCUUUACAUAUUUUUCUUUAUUGCAGUAAAUUUUUGACUUACAACUGUAAAUAUGUUGCAACCAUUAUUUACACCUUAUCUUGUAUCUCACUCUCUGUGAAAACCAAGCUAACUAGGGCCCAACCAUGGAUUUACAAUAUAGAAUGGUGAUGAACUAUUACCUUGGACCCUGCCACAAGAAUAUGCAAAUUUCUUUACAAAUCUAAACAGUAUUGCGAGUCUGAUGCACUAACAGAGCUUAUAAAAUAUUUUGCCCAGAUUGAUAAUCCCUCACUGACUUUGUGUGUGUGUGUGUGAGGUCUGUGUGUGUAUAUAUUUAUAUUUAAUACAUAUGUAUGUAUGUAUGAGAAAUAAGCAUAAACACAAGUUUCUUUUAUAUUUCUUAUGUACAUUUUACUGUCAUGGUUGUUUGGAGCCUUGCCUUAGGUAUCCCAAGUGCAUUUAAAUGCUCAGCUACAAUGGAUCACAAGGGAACACUUUGUUGCAUUAAGUUAGAGGUAUGUUUGUAUGUGUCUGAGUGUCUGAAUAUGGAGAUCUCACAGUGAUAUAAUAUUUACAGUCCUUGUUGACAUUAUGAUUGGUCGCUCUAUGCUUUGUAAGACAUCUGGAGUAAAGAAAAAAUCCCUUACUUGAGAAACGAGUAAGGGUUGGCAACCAGAACAUCUGGCUGUAAAAAUCCUGCUUCAAAAAACCCCCUUUCUCGCCCAUGCUAGCAUGGAAAAGUGGGCAUUGAAUGGACACUGUGUCUACCCAUCUAGUCAACAUCUACUUUUUUUUAUGUAAUCAGGUUGUAUCUGAAGAUUAAAAUUUUGUGACAUUCCACUAGAAUAAAAUCAGUGAGCAAGUUGACACUGAGAACUGUUGCAUGUAAUAAAAUAAUUCCAUAAGGAUCAGUACAGUUUGGUUUUGGAUUUCACCACAAUACAAGCAUACAUACACUAGUGUGUAUAUAAUUCUAUUGUUAAAAUCCAAAAUGUAUAUAUAUAGUCCUUUUACCAGUUCAGUUUAGUGAACAAUUUUUGUCUGAAUUUCCUUGUAUUUCAAAACCAGACAUUCAAACUUUAUUUGAUAUCUUGCUGAUAUUGUUGUUGUUAUUGUUGUUUUAGAGUUCAGUUAAUUACUCUCUCUCUCUCUCUCUCUCUCUCUCCUCUCUCUCUCUCUCUCUCUCUCUCUCUCUCUCUCACUCUCUUUCUCGCUACUUUACAAAUGGCGUUCCUGUAGCAAGAAUCGUUUUUGUUUUAUAAUACUUUAUACAUUUUAAUUGAUUAUUGUUGUUGUUGUUCAUGAUGGCAGUUGUAUAGUGAAGAUCCCAAGUAGUAAGACUUAAUCUCCAAGAAUUCCACAAUUUUCAUUUUUACAAUUGUACACAUCUUAUUGACAUUUUUGGGAAAUUAAAUUUUACAAAGAAAUCAAA